GACGAACGCUGGCGGCGUGCUUAACACAUGCAAGUCGAACGGAAAGGCCCUGCUUUUGUGGGGUGCUCGAGUGGCGAACGGGUGAGUAACACGUGAGUAACCUGCCCUUGACUUUGGGAUAACUUCAGGAAACUGGGGCUAAUACCGGAUAGGAGCUCCUGCUGCAUGGUGGGGGUUGGAAAGUUUCGGCGGUUGGGGAUGGACUCGCGGCUUAUCAGCUUGUAGGUGGGGUAGUGGCUUACCAAGGCUUUGACGGGUAGCCGGCCUGAGAGGGUGACCGGCCACAUUGGGACUGAGAUACGGCCCAGACUCCUACGGGAGGCAGCAGUGGGGAAUAUUGCACAAUGGGCGGAAGCCUGAUGCAGCAACGCCGCGUGCGGGAUGACGGCCUUCGGGUUGUAAACCGCUUUCGCCUGUGACGAAGCGUGAGUGACGGUAAUGGGUAAAGAAGCACCGGCUAACUACGUG
rnacentral:rRNA from 1 species